rnacentral:rRNA from 1 species
CAGCCGCCACGGUAAAACGAAGGGUGCAAGCGUUACUCGGAAUUACUGGGCGUAAAGCGUGCGUAGGUGGUGGUUUAAGUCCGUUGUGAAAGCCCUGGGCUCAACCUGGGAAUUGCAGUGGAUACUGGGUCACUAGAGUGUGGUAGAGGAUAGUGGAAUUUCCGGUGUAGCAGUGAAAUGCGUAGAGAUCGGAAGGAACAUCUGUGGCGAAGGCGACUAUCUGGGCCAACACUGACACUGAGGCACGAAAGCGUGGGGAGCAAACAGGAUUAGAUACCCCUGUAGUCCCUGUCUCUUAUAC